rnacentral:rRNA from 1 species
AUUGAACGCUGGCGGCAUGAUUUACACAUGCAAGUCGAACGGUAACAGGCCGCAAGGUGCUGACGAGUGGCGAACGGGUGAGUAAUGCAUCGGAACGUGCCCAGUCGUGGGGGAUAACUACUCGAAAGAGUAGCUAAUACCGCAUACGAUCUAUGGAUGAAAGCGGGGGACCGUAAGGCCUCGCGCGAUUGGAGCGGUCGAUGUCAGAUUAGGUAGUUGGUGGGGUAAAGGCUCACCAAGCCAACGAUCUGUAGCUGGUCUGAGAGGACGACCAGCCACACUGGGACUGAGACACGGCCCAGACUCCUACGGGAGGCAGCAGUGGGGAAUUUUGGACAAAGGGCGCAAGCCUGAUCCAGCAAUGCCGCGUGCAGGAAGAAGGCCUUCGGGUUGUAAACUGCUUUUGUACGGAACGAAACGGCUCUGGUUAAUACCCGGGGCUAAUGACGGUACCGUAAGAAUAAGCACCGGCUAACUACGUG